rnacentral:rRNA from 1 species
UACGUAGGGUGCAAGCGUUAAUCGGAAUUACUGGGCGUAAAGCGUGCGCAGGCGGUUCGCUAAGACAGAUGUGAAAUCCCCGGGCUUAACCUGGGAACUGCAUUUGUGACUGGCGGGCUAGAGUAUGGCAGAGGGGGGUAGAAUUCCACGUGUAGCAGUGAAAUGCGUAGAGAUGUGGAGGAAUACCGAUGGCGAAGGCAGCCCCCUGGGCCCAAUACUGACGCUCAUG